AUUGAACGCUGGCGGUAUGCCUUACACAUGCAAGUCGAACGGCAGCACGGGGCAACCUGGUGGCGAGUGGCGAACGGGUGAGUAAUGCAUCGGAACGUACCUUUCAGUGGGGGAUAACGUAGCGAAAGUUACGCUAAUACCGCAUAUUCUGUGAGCAGGAAAGCAGGGGAUCGCAAGACCUUGCGCUGAUUGAGCGGCCGAUGUCAGAUUAGCUAGUUGGUGAGGUAAAGGCUCACCAAGGCGACGAUCUGUAGCGGGUCUGAGAGGAUGAUCCGCCACACGGGAACUGAGACACGGCCCAGAGUCCUACGGGAGGCAGCAGUGGGGAAUUUUGGACAAUGGGGGCAACCCUGAUCCAGCCAUGCCGCGUGAGUGAAGAAGGCCUUCGGGUUGUAAAGCUCUUUCGGCCGGGAAGAAAUCGCACGGGCUAAUACCCUGUGUGGAUGACGGUACCGGAAUAAGAAGCACCGGCUAACUACGUGCCAGCCGCCGCGGUAAAAC
rnacentral:rRNA from 1 species